GGCGAACGGGUGAGUAACACGUAGGCAACCUGCCCCUCGCAGGGGGACAACCGGAGGAAACUCCGGCUAAUACCCCGUACGCUUGUUGGAUCGCAUGGUCCGACAAGGAAAGGUAGCUUCGGCCAUCCGGCGAGGGAUGGGCCCGCGUUGCAUUAGCUAGUUGGUGGGGUAACGGCCUACCAAGGCGACGAUGCGUAGCUGGUCUGAGAGGAUGAUCAGCCACACUGGGACUGAGACACGGCCCAGACUCCUACGGGAGGCAGCAGCCAGGAAUCUUGGGCAAUGGGCGAAAGCCUGACCCAGCAACACCGUGUGGGUGACGAAGGCCUUAGGGUCGUAAAGCCCUGUUGAUAGGGACGAAGGGCGAAGGGUUAAUAGCCCCUAGCUUGACGGUACCUUUCGAGGAAGCCCCGGCUAACUACGUGCCAGCAGCCGCGGUAAUCCGUAGGGGGCGAGCGUUGUCCGGAAUUAUUGGGCGUAAAGAGCGUGUAGGCGGUUCGGUAAGUCUGCUGUGAAAUCCUGGGGCUCAACCCUGGGCGUGCAGCGGAUACUGCCGGGCUAGAGGGUGGUAGAGGCGAGUGGAAUUCCGAGUGUAGCGGUGAAAUGCGCAGAUAUUCGGAGGAACACCAGUAGCGAAGGCGGCUCGCUGGGCCACACCUGACGCUGAGACGCGAAAGCGUGGGGAGCGAACAGGAUUAGAUACCCUGGUAGUCCACGCCGUAAACGAUGGAUACUGGGUGUGGGCGGAGUCGAAUCUGUCUGUGCCGAAGUUAACGCGUUAAGUAUCCCGCCUGGGGAGUACGGCCGCAAGGCUAAAACUCAAAAGAAUUGACGG
rnacentral:rRNA from 1 species